AAGACUAUAGACCUGCGGAGUACCUGCGGAAGGAUCAUUAUUGAAUUAUGUUUCUGAAUGGGUUGUAGCUGGCUCGUCAGAGCAUGUGCACGCCUGUUUGGACUUCAUUUUCAUCCACCUGUGCACCUAUUGUAGUCUUUGGUUGGGUAUCAAGGAAGUGGUCAGCCUAUCAGCACUUGCUGGAUGUGAGGACUUGCAGUGUGAAAGCUUUGCUGUCCUUUACUUGAUCAUGGAGUUGUU
rnacentral:misc_RNA from 1 species